UAAUCACAAAGUUUAGAGCUUCUUAGAUUCAAGAGUGUGAUUUCUCCUGCUAAAUCUGCAAAKAUGCAGCUGUAAAGCAUUAAUGGAGUACAAAUUUGCACCCAUCAUCAGACCAGGAGUUUCUGUUUCUACUCUGCACUGCGUAAACUGCUAUUUGUUACAUCCAAGUCUGAAGUAACGCUGAGAAGCUUCACAUCUGACUUGACUUGAAAAUGCUUUUAGCUAUUCUGAAAGCAAAAUCUACCAGCCUCCUGAGAUCUGUGUUAGUGUAAACCAAAGGCCRUGGAUGCUGCUGCUGCAAGUGACAGAAACAAAAUAUGUUUCGUUUCUGGUAUGUUUCACUAUAACAACUCCUAAAUUCAGGAGAACUUUGAAGUACUUCAAGAAUUCCUUCCCAUAGUUAUCUCACAACAGAAUCUGAAAAAGAGAAAGACAAAGGAAAUGCUAAGAAUAUUGACAGCAAGAAGGGGAAUGGUGGGAACCUGUGACUCGAGUGAGCAAGGUAUACAGGUUCAGCACUAUUAUAUCUUGCUUAUUGUAUCAGGAAGUUGGAACACAGACCAGA
rnacentral:lncRNA from 1 species